UACGUAGGGUGCGAGCGUUGUCCGGAAUUAUUGGGCGUAAAGGGCUCGUAGGCGGUUUGUCACGUCAGGAGUGAAAACUCGGGGCUCAACCCCGAGCCUGCUUCUGAUACGGGCAGACUAGAGGUAUGCAGGGGGAGAACGGAAUUCCUGGUGUAGCGGUGAAAUGCGUAGAUAUCGGAAGGAACGCCGGUGGCGAAAGCGGCGUGCUGGAUCUCUUCUGACGCUGAGGCGCGAAAGCCAGGGGAGCAAACGGG
rnacentral:rRNA from 1 species